rnacentral:rRNA from 1 species
GUAGGUGGCAAGCGUUGUCCGGAAUUAUUGGGCGUAAAGCGCGCGCAGGCGGUCCUUUAAGUCUGAUGUGAAAGCCCACGGCUCAACCGUGGAGGGUCAUUGGAAACUGGGGGACUUGAGUACAGAAGAGGAAAGCGGAAUUCCAAGUGUAGCGGUGAAAUGCGUAGAGAUGUGGAGGAACACCAGAGGCGAAGGCGGCUUUCUGGUCUGUAACUGACGCUGAGGCGCGAAAGCGUGGGGAGCAAACAGGGAUUAGAUACCCUGGUAGUCCACGCCGUAAACGAUGAGUGCUAAGUGUUAGGGGGUUUCCCGCCCCUUAGUGCUGCAGCUAACGCAUUAAGCACUCCGCCUGGGGAGUACGGCCGCAAGGCUG